rnacentral:rRNA from 1 species
AGAGUUUGAUCCUGGCUCAGGAUGAACGCUGGCGGUAUGCUUAACACAUGCAAGUCGAACGGGGUUACCGGAUCGGAGGCUUCGGCCAAAGAGCUGACUAACCUAGUGGCGGACGGGUGAGUAACACGUGAGCAACCAACCUUAUACACAGGAAUAACACUGGGAAACCAGUGCUAAUACCCGAUAUUAUUUAGACAAGGCAUCUUGAUUAAAUGAAAGAUUUAUCGGUAUAAGACGGGCUCGCGUCCGAUUAGCUAGUUGGUAGGGUAAUGGCCUACCAAGGCGACGAUCGGUAGCCGGACUGAGAGGUUGAUCGGCCACAUUGGGACUGAGAACGGCCCAGACUCCUACGGGAGGCAGCAGUGGGGAAUAUUGGGCAAUGGAGGCAACUCUGACCCAGCAAUACCGCGUGAAGGAAGAAGGCCUUCGGGUUGUAAACUUCUUUAGACAGGGAAGAAAGAAAUGACAUUACCUGUAGAAUAAGCCACGGCUAACUACGUGCCAGCAGCCGCGGUAAUACGUAGGUGGCAAGCGUUAUCCGGAAUUACUGGGUGUAAAGGGCGCGCAGGCGGCCCUGCAAGUCGGAUGUGAAAGAUCAAGGCUCAACCUUGACAGGCCAUUCGAAACUGUGGGGCUUGAGUGUCAGAGGGGAAAGUGGAAUUCCUAGUGGAGCGGUAAAAUGCGCAGAUAUUAGGAGGAACACCGGUGGCGAAGGCGACUUUCUGGCUGACAACUGACGCUGAGGCGCGAAAGCGUGGGGAGCGAACAGGAUUAGAUACCCUGGUAGUCCACGCCGUAAACGCUGAUUACUAGGUGUAGGGGGUAUCGACUCCCUCUGUGCCGCAGUUAACGCAAUAAGUAAUCCACCUGGGGAGUACGGCCGCAAGGUUAAAACUCAAAGGAAUUGACGGGGGCCCGCACAAGCAGUGGAGUAUGUGGAUUAAUUCGAGGCAACGCGAAGAACCUUACCAGGGCUUGACAUCUCCUGAAGACUCAAGAGAUUGAGUUGUCCCUUCGGGGCAGGAAGACAGGUGGUGCAUGGUUGUCGUCAGCUCGUGUCGUGAGAUGUUCGGUUAAGUCCGGCAACGAGCGCAACCCCUAUUGUUAGUUGCUACGCAAGAGCACUCUAGCGAGACUGCCGUUGACAAAACGGAGGAAGGUGGGGACGACGUCAAAUCAUCAUGCCCC